CGGCGGCCGCGGGUCCCAGGGGCAAGUGAGGGACCGAAGGCUCUGGAAGUCGCUCGGACCCUGGGUUCCUCCCCGUCGCGGGCUGUCCCCCGGACCCACCUCGGAAGUCUUGGGGGAUGCUGGACCAGGCUCUGCCUCCUGUGAUCCUGCCCAUCCCCUGGGAAGGACACCACAGGAAGGAAGGAGAAGGCAAUGGCUGCUGGGCCUCUACUAUUGGGAGUUGAGGGCAUCAGCUUUCCAAACCAAAUGUGAUAUCUCAGCUGGAUUGAGAACUGAGCCUGAUGACAAAAGAACAUCCAGGGUGCAUUUCCCCAGGUAAGGAUCUGGCUGCAAGAACUUGUUCCAUGA
rnacentral:lncRNA from 1 species